rnacentral:lncRNA from 1 species
AUCUUCAACUCAGAAGCACCAGUCUCUCUCAUUUGAGAAAAGGAUGAGAAGGAAGGAAUGGCCUGACUUCCUCAUGUGUGCCCUGAUUCUUGGUAGGCACCAUGUUGGGGCUGCCACACAUGUGCUGAAGCUUUGGGAAUGUUCCAUUUAAAUACCGAUUUCAAGGCCAAUGCCUUACAUGGAGCACAAAUAUCCAGGCUUUUAAUAUGCAUUGUCAAAUUUCUUUCCAAAAAGAGUGCAGUCUUCAGACAUACAGAACUGUUCAGGAGUUUUCCAACGGAGGACGAAUCCUAGCAUAUGUCACAAGAAGCUUGACAUGGAAAGGACUCUACAUCCAUUAGGCUUAAUCAACAUCCUACAUCCA